GUGCUCCGUGAGAUGUUCAAAGCUUGGGAUAUUUUUUAUAACCUGACCCUGCUUUAAACUUCUCCACAACUUUAUCCCUGACCUGUCUGGUGUGUUCAUUGGGCUUCAUGAUGCUGUUUGUUCACUAAUGUUCUCUAACAAACCUCUGAGGCCUUCACAGAACAGCUGUAUUUAUACUGAGAUUAGAUUACACACAAGUGGAUUUUAUUUAUUAAUUAGGUGACUUCUAAAGGCAAUUGGUUGCACUGGAUUUUAUUUAGGGGCAUCAGAGUAAAGGGGGCUGAAUACUUUUGCACGCCACACUUUUCAGUUUUUUAUUGUAAAAAAAAUUGAAAACCAUGUAUCAUUUUCCUUCCACUUCACAAUUAUGCGCCACUUUGUGUUGGUCUAUCACAUAAAAUCCCAAUAAAAUACAUUUGCGUUUGUGGUUGUAACGUGACAAAAUGGAUCAGCGGGUCAGAAGCAUCUCUGGAGAACAUGGACAGGCGACGUUUCGGGUCUGGACCUCUCUUCAGACGGAUUUCCCAUUUCUUCCGCAGAUGCUGCCUGACCUGUUUUUGUGUUUGUUUCCGCCCACAGGUAGUCGUUCAAAGAUGCAGUGGAGUGUGGUCGCUUGGUUCUUUCUGCUGUUGUCUGGUGCUGUUGGAUCCGAUGAAUCGAUCAUACAAUCACCGAAGCAGAUCACAGUUACUGAAGGCGGGACUGUGCGGCUAAACUGUGCAUUUGUUGGCGACACAGGCAGUUCAAUUUCAUUAGUUGGUACAAAGACGUGGAAACUCGUGCCGUUUCCAACACGAGCGGCGACUAUUAUGGUCGCGUUCUGAAAAAUAAUUCACAGGGAAUUCUAAAAGAAUCCAUCGAAAUCACUGACCUCAAAAUGAACGAUACAGGAAGGUAUUACUGCCGAGUGAGUGUUUUCACAGGGGAAACAUAUCAUGGUCACGGCACGGAUGUCACGGUCACACGUGCUGUUGGAUCCGAUGAAUCGAUCAUACAAUCACCGAAACAGAUCACAGUUACUGAAGGCGGGACUGUGCGGCUAAACUGUGCAUUUGUUGGGAACCCGAAUAUAAUUGUGGCCUUUAGUUGGUACAAAGACGUGGAAACUCGGGCCGUUUCCAACACGAGCGGCGACUAUUAUGGUCGCGUUCGGACAAGUAUUUCACCGGGGAUUCUAAAAGUGUCCAUCGAAAUCACUGACCUCAAAAUGAACGAGACAGGAAGGUAUUACUGCCGAGUGCGUGUUUUCACAGGGGAAAUAUAUAAUGGUCACGGCACAGAUGUCACAGUCACACGUAAGUUUGCGUUAUCUUAACUUUGUCUUUACUGUUCUCAAAAACAUCCUUAACACCGGCCACCGCACGUCUCAACAACGAAACGUUGUCAGAUCAGAUUUAGGAACCAGGGGACACAGUUUGAAAAUAAGGGGGAGGCCAUUUAGAACGGAGACGAGGAAACAUCUUUUCACCCAGAGAGUUGUGAAUCUGUGGAAUUCUCUGCCACAGAAGGCAGUGGAUGCUUUAAAGAGGGAGUUAGAUUUAGCUCUUAGGGCUAACGGAAUCAAGAGAUACGGGGAGAAUGCAGGAACGGGGUACUGAUUUCAGAUGAUCAUAUUGAAUGGCGGUGCUGGCUGGAAGGGCCGAAUGGCCUACUUCUGCACCUAUUUUUCUAUGUUUCUCUUUUUUAAAUUACAAUGUGCAAGAUCAGUCACAGAGUGAUACAGUGUGGAAACAGGCCCUUCGGCCCAACUUGCCCACACCGGCCAACAAUGUCCCAUCUACACUAGUCACAGAGUGAUACAGUGUGGAAACAGGCCCUUCGGCCCAACUUGCCCACACCGGCCAACAAUGUCCCAUCUACACUAGUCACAGAGUGAUACAGUGUGGAAACAGGCCCUUCGGCCCAACUUGCCCACACCGGCCAACAAUGUCCCAUCUACACUAGUCCCAACUGCCAGCGCCUGGUCCAUAUCCCUCCAAACCUGUCCUAUCCAUGUACCUGUCCAACUGCUUCUUAAACGAUGGGAUAGUCCCAGCCUCAACUACCUCCUCUGGCAGCUUGUUCCAUAAAUCGAGCGCCCUCUGUGCGAAAAAAAUACCCAUCGGAUUCCUACUGAAUCUUUCCCCCUUCACCUUGAACCUGUGUCCUCUGGUCCUCGAUUCCCCUACUCUGGGCUAGAGACUGUGCAUCAGUGUACGGGAUGAAGAGAGAAUCGGUGCAUCAUUUGAUAUAAUCCGUGCCGAUUUCAUGGUCGCUUUCGACGCUGUAACAUCCAUGAAUGUUGAAGCACAAAAUCGGAAUAACAAACAUAUGACCAUAACCUGGCGGGGAAGAUGGAGGAACUGUAAGGAAAGUACAGUGGGUUCAGGAAAGCUGGAGAGAGGGGCAACACGGUGGCGCGGCGGUAGAGUUGCUGCCUUACAGCGCCAGGGACCCCGGGUUCGAUCCUGACUACGGGUUCUGUCUGUACGGAGUUUACGUUCCCCCUGCGUGGGGUUUCACCGGGAGCUCCGUUUUCCUCCCACACUCCAAAGACGUACUGGUUUGUAGGCUAAUUGGCCUCGGUAAAAAAUUAAAUUGUCCCUAGUGUGUGUAGAAUAGCAUUAUUUUGCUGGGAUCGUUGAUCGCAGCGGACUCGGUGGGCCGAAGGGCCUGUAUCCGCUCUGUAUCUCUAAACUAAACUAAACCAAAGUGAUUAAUGUCCAUUGUGGGCGAAAUCCCCAUUUCUAGAACGAGGCAAGAAGCCAUUUUUUCCCAUCGAACAGCAAACCAGUUCCCUCUAAAUUCACAUUCACGCUCCAGUCACUCCGACUCCUCCAUAAACCAGGGAUGAUUUACAGCUGUACUUCUUCUUCUUGCGAAUGAAACAUAAAUAAACUAAAGGAAUAGUUAGAUCUCAAGCCGGGUGUUGAGCAGCCAGGUUGUUGUCUCUUGGCGUCAAUGUCUGCCAGGCCCUGACACAGCUCCAUUUGGUGGGUGGGAGAGCGGGCACCCAGAGAUGACAUGGUUGGCUGCCUGUUGUUCUGCUCCACAUUCACAGGCUGGGCUCUGGCGGAGCCCCCAUCUCCACAUGCUGGCAUUGAAACACCCAACUCCAGUACCAAGUCUGUUGAGCUUCACCCAUGCUCCUCUGGGGAGGUCAGACCCUGGACAGGUUUUAUCUGGUGAACAGAUGGAGCUGUGUAAUGGAGAUGAGGUUGCCUUCCACUCCUGUGACCACUUGGUGGCUAUCCAGUGUGCUUUUGUCUCAGUUGGCUGGAUGGAUGCUAGGAGUUGUUUAGGGAUGUUAAUUGCCUGUCAGGACGCGCGUCCUUGGGUUGAGAGAGGAAGCAAGAACGCCCAGGGGAAACGCAGGCAAUAUAAUGGAGAACGUGCAAACUCCACACAGACAGACAGCACCCGGGGUCAGGAUCGAGCCCGGGUUGUCUCACGACAUUUAAGAAUCGUCUCGCCAAGCACUUGAAACGCUGAGACAUAGAAAGGCCAUGAUCCUAACGCGAGUAAAUGGGAUUGUGUAGAUAGGUGUAAUGGAUGGCAUUGACGGGGUGGGCCGAAAGGCCAGCGCCGAGACUAUAAUAUUCUUUCUGGUUUCAUGUGCUGUUGGAUCCGAUGAAUCGAUCAUACAAUCACCGAAGCAGAUCACAGUUACUGAAGGCGGGACUGUGCGGCUAAACUGUGCAGUUGUUGGCGACACAAGCAGUUUAAUUAGGACCAUUAGUUGGUACAAAGACGUGGAAACUCGUGCCGUUUCCAACACGAGCGGCGACUAUUAUGGUCGCGUUCUGACAAAUAAUUCAAAGGGAAUUCUAAAAGUAUCCAUCGAAAUCACUGACCUCAAAAUGAUCGAUACAGGAAGGUAUUACUGCCGAGUGAGUGUUUUCACAGGGGAAAUAUAUAAUGGUCACGGCACAGAUGUCACGGUCACACGUAAGUUUGCGUUACCUUAACAUUGUCUUUACUGUUCUAACAGACAUUCUCAACACCGGCCACCACACGCCUGAACAGCCGAGCUUUGUCAGUUCAGAUAUAGGCACAGAAAUUAAUUAUAUAUGGAGGAACCAUGGGACACAUUUUAAGAAUAACGGGUAAGCCAUUUAGGACUGAGAUGAGAAAACACAUUUUCACCCAGAGAGUUGUGAAUCUGUGGAAUUCUCAUCGUCAUAAGGCAGUGGAGGCCGGUUCUCUGGAUGCUUUCAAGAGAGAGUUAGAUAGAGAUUUAAAGAUAACGGAGUCAAUGGAUAUGGGGAGAAGGCAGGAUCGGGGUACUGGUUGUGAAUGAUCAGCCAUGAUCACAGUGAAUGGCGGUGCUGGCUUGAAGGGCCGAAUAGAAACAUAGAAAUUAGGUGCAGGAGUAGGCCAUUCGGCCCUUCGAGCCUGAACCACCAUUCAAUAUGAUCAAGGCUGAUCAUCCAACUCAGUAUCCCGUACCUGCCUUCUCUCCAUACCCUCUGAUCCCCUUAGCCACAAAGGCCACAUCUAACCCCCUCUUAAAUAUAGCCAAUGAACCGGCCUAAACUGCCCUCUGUGACAGAGAGUUCCAUAGAUUCACCACUCUCUGUGGAAAAAAGUUCUUCUCAUCUCGGUUUUCAAGGAUUUCCUCCUUAUCCUUAAACUGUGACCCCUUGUCCUGGACUUCCCCAACAUCGGGAACAAUCUUCCUGCAUCUAGCCUGUCCAACCCCUUAAGAAUUUUGUAAGUUUCUAUAAGAUCCCCUCUCAAUCUCCUAAAUUCUAGAGAGUAUAAACCAAGUCUAUCCAAUCUUUCUUCAUAAGGCAGUCCUGACAUCCCAGGUACUCAAAUCCUUUUGCUAUGAAAGCCAACAUACCAUUCGCUUUCUUUGCCACCAAAAUGGAUAACCUCACAUUUAUCCACAUUAUACUGCAUCUGCCAAACAUUUGCCCACUCACCCAGCCUAUCCAAGUCACCUUGCAGUCUCCUAGCAUCCUCCUCACAGAUAACACUGCCCCCCAGCUUAGUGUCAUCCGCAAACUUGGAGAUAUUGCCUUCAAAUCCCUCAUCCAGAUCAUUAAUAUAUAUUGCAAAUAGCUGGGGUCCCAGCACUGAGCCUUGCCAUACCCCACUAGUCACUGCCUGCCAUUGUGAAAAGGACCCGUUUACUCCUACUCAUUGCUUCCUGUUUGCCAGACAGUUCUCUAUCCACAUCAAUACUGAACCCUCAAUGCCGUGUGCUUUACGUUUAUAUAUUAAUCUCUUAUGUGGGACCUUGUCGAAAGCCUUCUGGAAGUCCAGAUACAUCACAUCCACUGGUUCUCCCCUAUCCACGCUACUAGUUACAUCCUCGAAAAUUUUUAUAAGAUUCGUCAGACAUGAUUUACCUUUCGUAAAUCCAUGCUGACUUUGUCCAAUGAUUUCACCACUUUCCAAAUGUGCUGCUAUCCCAUCUUUAAUAACUAGCAGUUUCCCCACUACCGAUGUUAGACUAACGGGUCUGUAAUUCCCCCUUUCUCUCUCCUUAAAAAGUGGGGCUACGUUUGCUACCCUCCAAUCCUCAGGAACUACUCCAGAAUCUGAAGAGUUUUGAAAGAUUAUUACUAAUGCAUCCACUAUUUCUGGAGCUACUUCCUUAAGUACUCUGGGAUGCAGCCUAUCUGGCCCUGGGGAUUUAUCGGCCUUUAAUCCAUUCAAUUUACCUAACACCACUUCACGACUAACCUGGAUUUCACUCAAUUCCACCAACUCCUUUGACCCGCGGUCCCUGCUAUUUCUGGCAGAUUAUUUAUGUCUUCCUUUGUGAAGACGGAACCAAAGUAGUUAUUCAAUUGGUCCGCCAUAUCCUUGUUCAUAGAAACAUAGAAACAUAGAAAUUAGGUGCAGGAGUAGGCCAUUCGGCCCUUCGAGCCUGCACCGCCAUUUAAUAUGAUCAUGGCUGAUCAUCCAACUCAGUAUCCCGUACCUGCCUUCUCUCCAUACCCUCUGAUCCCCCUGGCCACAAGGGCCACAUCUAACUCCCUCUUAAAUAUAGCCAAUGAACUGGCCUCAACUACCCUCUGUGGCAGAGAGUUCCAGAGAUUCACCACUCUUUGUGUGAAAAAAGUUCUCAUCUCGGUUUUAAAGGAUUUCCCCCUUAUCCUUAAGCUGUGACCCCUUGUCCUGGACUUCCCCAACAUCGGGAACAAUCUUCCUGCAUCUAGCCUGGGACCAAGCAUCUUGAAUCUUUGAUUUGAUCGGGUGCCAAACAUCGAGUUAUUCUAUAAUGUUUACUCCAUGGUUUACUCUAUAGUAUCGAAGACUGAGGGGUGAUCUGACAGAGCAUACAAUUCUGAAGGGUUUAGAUAGAGAAGAGAGUCAGAGUAAUUUUCUCAGGAUAGAAAUGCAAAUGCUAGUGUGCAUGGCUUUAAGGUGAGAAGGAUUUGUUUUGCACCAAACCCUUUUAACAUUUGUUAACAAGGGUGAAAUUAACUUUCCAAAGGGGAUGAGUGUUAUUGGAAAGUUGAGGCUUUUGAAAGAAGACAGACGGAUCUACGCCUUGCUGGAUUCACCAAUUCAACAACAAAUUUAAUUACCUUCAUGGAACUUACAAACAAUUCAAUUCAAUAAAGGCUCUGGGGGGGAAAAAAACAUUCAUGGUUAUUAUGGCAUCAACUUGCUGUUCCCCAUGAUCAACUUGCCUGUUUCUGACUGCAAGGGACCUACAUUUGUUUUAACUAAUCUCUUUCUUUUCACAUAUCCAGGCCUCCUCCUGCACAUAUUGUCUAUUGUCUAUUGCCCACACCGGCCAACAAUGUCCCAGCUACACUAGUCCCACCUGCCUGCGCCUGGUCAAUAUCCCACAAAACCUGUCCUAUCCAUGUACCUGUCCAACUGCUUCUUAAACGAUGGGAUAAUCCCAGCCUCAACGACCUCUGGCAGCUUGCUCCAUACACCGACUAUUCUUUCCAUC